rnacentral:lncRNA from 1 species
UGAGAUAAUUGGGUCAUGGGGGUGAAGCCCUCAUGAUGGGAUUAAAGGCCUUGUAAGAAGAGACACAGCGACUUUCUCUUCAGCCCUCCUCCCUCCAUCAUGUGAGGACACAGCAAGAGGAUGGCCACCCACAAAGCUAGGAAGAAGGCCCUAACCAAGCAGGCAAUCAUGCUGACACCCUGAUCUCGAACACCUACACUCAGUUAGGUGUAGUGACUCGUGCCUGAAAUACCAGCACUUUAGGAGGCCAAGGCAAGAGAAUCACUUGAGGCUAAGAGUUUGAGGCCAGCCUGGGCUAUAGUGAAACCCCGUCUCUACAAAAAAAGUUUUAAGACUCGGUGGGGUAGCUCACACCUGUAAUCCCACCACUUUGGGAGGCUGAGGUGGGGGGAUCAUGAGGUCAGGAAUUAGAGACCAGCCUGGUUAAUAUGGUGAAACCCUGUCUCUACUAAAAAUACAAAAAUUAGCUUGGAGUGAUGGCAUGCACCUGUAGUCCCAUCUACUUGGGAGGCUGAGGCAGGAGAAUCGCUUGAACCCGGGAGGUGGAGGUCUCAGUGAGCCAAGAUCUUGCCGCUGCACUCCAGCCUGGGUGACAGAGCAAGACUCUGUCUCAAAAAAAAAAAAAAAGGUUUUAAAAUUAGCUGAGUGAGACUCCAUCUCAAAAAAAAAAAAAAAAAAAAGGAAAAGAAAAGAAAGAAAUAAAGUCUAUAUCCAAUAGCCAGAGGUACAGAGGUAUAUCUCUAAGGUCCUUGAUCUUCCAAAUAUAAUGCAAAACCCAGAAGACAUUUUUUUAAAUGAUAAAUUUGACUACUAAGCAAAAAAUUAUGCAUGGCAUAAGUCACAAUUAACAAAGUCAAAAGAAAAAUGAGACAAAUAUUUAAUAAGAAUAUCUGGAAGCACUCAAGAUCCAUUAAGGUAAUUGGAGUGUAAUAUCAGGGAGAAAGAACUAGAAUGUAACUCAAUGCAAUAUACUGAUUGGGUUUUAAUCCUAAAACACUGAUUUUUAUACUGUCCAAAGAAAUUUUG